rnacentral:rRNA from 1 species
GACGUAGGGGACGAGCGUUGUCCGGAUUUAUUGGGCGUAAAGAGCUCGUAGGCGGCUUGUCGCGUCGUUCGUGAAAACCCGGGGCUCAACUCCGGGCUUGCGGGCGAUACGGGCAGGCUAGAGUUCGGUAGGGGAGACUGGAAUUCCUGGUGUAGCGGUGAAAUGCGCAGAUAUCAGGAGGAACACCGGUGGCGAAGGCGGGUCUCUGGGCCGAUACUGACGCUGAGGAGCGAAAGCGUGGGGAGCGAACAGG